rnacentral:rRNA from 1 species
GUAGGUAACCUGCCCCGGAGCGGGGGAUAACAUUUGGAAACAGAUGCUAAUACCGCAUAACAACAAAAGCCACAUGGCUUUUGUUUGAAAGAUGGCUUUGGCUAUCACUCUGGGAUGGACCUGCGGUGCAUUAGCUAGUUGGUAAGGUAACGGCUUACCAAGGCGAUAAUGCAUAGCCGAGUUGAGAGACUGAUCGGCCACAAUGGAACUGGGACACGGUCCAUACUCCUACGGGAGGCAGCAGUAGGGGAUCUUCCACAAUGGGCGCAAGCCUGAUGGAGCAACACCGCGUGAGUGAAGAAGGGUUUCGGCUCGUAAAGCUCUGUUGUUGGAGAAGAACGUGCGUGAGAGUAACUGUUCACGCAGUGACGGUAUCCAACCAGAAAGUCACGGCUAACUACGUGCCAGCAGCCGCGGUAAUACGUAGGUGGCAAGCGUUAUCCGGAUUUAUUGGGCGUAAAGCGAGCGCAGGCGGCUGCUUAGGUCUGAUGUGAAAGCCUUCGGCUUAACCGAAGAAGUGCAUCGGAAACCGGGCGACUUGAGUUGCAGAAGAGGACAGUGGAACUCCAUGUGUAGCGGUGGAAUGCGUAGAUAUAUGGAAGAACACCAGUGGCGAAGGCGGCUGUCUGGUCUGCAACUGACGGCCGAGGCUCGAAA